rnacentral:rRNA from 1 species
GACGAACGCGGGCGGCGUGCUUAACACAUGCAAGUCGAACGUGAUUUUUGUGGAAAUUCUUUCGGGAAUGGAAAUGAAAUGAAAGUGGCGAACGGGUGAGUAACACGUGAGCAACCUACCUUACACAGGGGGAUAGCCGUUGGAAACGACGAUUAAUACCGCAUGAGACCACAGAAUCGCAUGAUAUAGGGGUCAAAGAUUUAUCGGUGUAAGAAGGGCUCGCGUCUGAUUAGCUAGUUGGAAGGGUAAAGGCCUACCAAGGCGACGAUCAGUAGCCGGUCUGAGAGGAUGAACGGCCACAUUGGAACUGAGACACGGUCCAAACUCCUACGGGAGGCAGCAGUGGGGAAUAUUGCACAAUGGGGGGAACCCUGAUGCAGCGGCGCCGCGUGAGCGAAGAAGGUUUUCGAAUCGUAAAGCUCUGUCCUAUGAG